UAACCUGCCCAAGAGAUCGGGAUAACACCUGGAAACAGAUGCUAAUACCGGAUAACAACAGAUGAUGCCUAUCAACUGUUUAAAAGAUGGUUCUGCUAUCACUCUUGGAUGGACCUGCGGUGCAUUAGCUAGUUGGUAGGGUAACGGCCUACCAAGGCUAUGAUGCAUAGCCGAGUUGAGAGACUGAUCGGCCACAUUGGGACUGAGACACGGCCCAAACUCCUACGGGAGGCAGCAGCC
rnacentral:rRNA from 1 species